rnacentral:rRNA from 1 species
UACGUAGGGUGCGAGCGUUGUCCGGAUUUAUUGGGCGUAAAGAGCUCGUAGGCGGUUCGGUAAGUUGGGUGUGAAACCUCCAGGCUCAACCUGGAGACGCCACCCGAUACUGCUGUGACUAGAGUCCGGUAGGGGAGCGUGGAAUUCCUGGUGUAGCGGUGAAAUGCGCAGAUAUCAGGAGGAACACCAGCGGCGAAGGCGGCGCUCUGGGCCGGAACUGACGCUGAGGAGCGAAAGCGUGGGUAGCAAACAGG